GGGUAGGGGAGCGUUCUGUAAGCCUGUGAAGGUGUGUCGUGAGGCAUGCUGGAGGUAUCAGAAGUGCGAAUGCUGACAUAAGUAACGAUAAAGCGGGUGAAAAGCCCGCUCGCCGGAAGACCAAGGGUUCCUGUCCAACGUUAAUCGGGGCAGGGUGAGUCGACCCCUAAGGCGAGGCCGAAAGGCGUAGUCGAUGGGAAACGGGUUAAUAUUCCCGUACUUGGUGUUACUGCGAAGGGGGGACGGAGAAGGCUAUGUUGGCCGGGCGACGGUUGUCCCGGUUUAAGCGUGUAGGUGUGUGUUCCAGGUAAAUCCGGUUCACUUUAACACUGAGGCGUGAUGACGAGGCACUACGGUGCUGAAGCAACAAAUGCCCUGCUUCCAGGAAAAGCCUCUAAGCAUCAGGUAACAUCAAAUCGUACCCCAAACCGACACAGGUGGUCAGGUAGAGAAUACCAAGGCGCUUGAGAGAACUCGGGUGAAGGAACUAGGCAAAAUGGUGCCGUAACUUCGGGAGAAGGCACGCUGACACGUAGGUGAAGUGAUUUACUCAUGGAGCUGAAGUCAGUCGAAGAUACCAGCUGGCUGCAACUGUUUAUUAAAAACACAGCACUGUGCAAACACGAAAGUGGACGUAUACGGUGUGACGCCUGCCCGGUGCCGGAAGGUUAAUUGAUGGGGUCAGCGCAAGCGAAGCUCCUGAUCGAAGCCCCGGUAAACGGCGGCCGUAACUAUAACGGUCCUAAGGUAGCGAAAUUCCUUGUCGGGUAAGUUCCGACCUGCACGAAUGGCGUAAUGAUGGCCAGGCUGUCUCCACCCGAGACUCAGUGAAAUUGAACUCGCUGUGAAGAUGCAGUGUACCCGCGGCAAGACGGAAAGACCCCGUGAACCUUUACUAUAGCUUGACACUGAACAUUGAGCCUUGAUGUGUAGGAUAGGUGGGAGGCUUUGAAGCGUGGACGCCAGUCUGCGUGGAGCCGACCUUGAAAUACCACCCUUUAAUGUUUGAUGUUCUAACGUGGACCCGUGAUCCGGGUUGCGGACAGUGUCUGGUGGGUAGUUUGACUGGGGCGGUCUCCUCCUAAAGAGUAACGGAGGAGCACGAAGGUUGGCUAAUCCUGGUCGGACAUCAGGAGGUUAGUGCAAUGGCAUAAGCCAGCUUGACUGCGAGCGUGACGGCGCGAGCAGGUGCGAAAGCAGGUCAUAGUGAUCCGGUGGUUCUGAAUGGAAGGGCCAUCGCUCAACGGAUAAAAGGUACUCCGGGGAUAACAGGCUGAUACCGCCCAAGAGUUCAUAUCGACGGCGGUGUUUGGCACCUCGAUGUCGGCUCAUCACAUCCUGGGGCUGAAGUAGGUCCCAAGGGUAUGGCUGUUCGCCAUUUAAAGUGGUACGCGAGCUGGGUUUAGAACGUCGUGAGACAGUUCGGUCCCUAUCUGCCGUGGGCGCUGGAGAACUGAGGGGGGCUGCUCCUAGUACGAGAGGACCGGAGUGGACGCAUCACUGGUGUUCGGGUUGUCAUGCCAAUGGCACUGCCCGGUAGCUAAAUGCGGAAGAGAUAAGUGCUGAAAGCAUCUAAGCACGAAACUUGCCCCGA
rnacentral:rRNA from 1 species